CAUUUAUGUGGUUUUAUUUGAUUUCGAGAUUGGUCACUGCAGAGACAAUCGGCUUGAAAUUAUUACGUUCUCGAUCUGUUAAUUGUGAUUAUAUGUUAUAUUUAUCGGAUAUUGGACUCCUUUUCUACUACUAGUGUAAUGUUUAUUUGGAGAUUUGGAAGGAUGUUUAUCUCAAGAAAUUCAAGGUCUUUUCCAUUUAUUUUCAUGUCCCUUUGCUUCCCACUUUUGGGUUUAUAUAGUGGAUACUUUUGGCUGGUCUUUUGUUGUGCCUUUCUACCGUUAUAAAAAUAAAAAUUUUGCAAAUGUCUUUUGUCUUGCAAAUGUUUUUGUGGGCUAUCCUUUUGAUGGUUUCAAGAAGAUGUCGUGGCUUGCGUUUUCCUAGAUUCUUUUGGAGUGGAGAAUUUGAUCAAAGAGUAGUGGGGGGUUUUAUAGAAUUUGAGAGUGGGAACUCCUUUGUUUGAUGUAACUACUUGAGCCGGAUGAAAUGAAACUUUCACGUACGAUUGUGAAAGGGGGGAGAUCCUAUAGUAUCCUAUCCAAAAUUUUCUUUUGGUUGGCCCAUAGCUAAAAAAAACUUACUUUCUUACGAUUACGGGGUUCAUCUAGUACGCUCAUAUAGUAGUCUUUCAUCAUUAAUUAAUAAUUAGAUAAGUUCCCGUGAUUGGGGGGUUUCUACUUGAAUUUUUUCUCUUCUAAAAUUCACUACUAGUGUAUUGUUAUUAUAAUAUGAUUUCUGUCCUGCUUUUCAGGUAGUCUGCCAUCAUACUUUGGUUGGUUGAGCCCACCUGCCCACCCCAUACCAUUCAUUCAUACGGGCCGACUUCAAGAGUUGAACCCAGUCUGGAGGCCUUUUGUAUUUUAAACCGGGUAUCUCUCUCCUCCAAACCCUAAAACUCCGAACCCGCCGCCGCCGCCUCUCUACAUCUCUCUCCGUCUCUCCAAACCCUAGUAGUAGAAGAUAGUGAAGAUGAAUAAUCCAUCAGCUGGGUCGUCCUCAAAGCAAAGAACUGGAUCAUCUCAACCCUCUGAAACUUCUUUUAAGCGCAAGAGAGGGGUUUGUCAGAAACAAUUGCAGCACAUGAUGUAUGGUUUUGGAGAUGACGCCGGGAAAUCCGCUUGGAACUCCGCCGGCAAUAUCCGCUCGGAACUCCGCCGGCAAUAUCCGCUCGGAACUCCGCCGGCAAUAUCCGCUGGCAAUAUCCGCUCGGAACUCCGCCGGCAAUAUCCUACAAGAACGAGAACAGAGAGAAGGGAUCCAGAUCCAGACCCGACCCGCUCAAAUCUGACCCAGUGGAUAGCCCAGAUCUUUGGGCUGCCCGGCCCAGCGGAUAGCCAAGAUCCGUGGGCUUCCCGGCCCAGCGGAUAGCCAAGAUCCGUGGGCUUCCCGGCCCAGCGGAUAGCCCAGAUCCGUGGGCUGCCCGGCCCACUACGACAAGCCCAGGUCCGUGAGGUGACCCGGCCCACUACGACAAGGCUAGGUCCGUGGGCUAGCCCGGCCCACUACGACAAUCCCAGGUCCGUGAGGUGACCCGACCCACUACGACUGCCCCGAUCCGACCCGCUUAACACUGCUCAAUACAGGUCAGUUUGUUUAUUGUGGGAGAUGGUUCGAUCUUCUGUAACUCGUCUGUCUAUCUGUAGGCAAAAAUUACGGGGACGGUUUGGACUCGUGGCGCUACCAAUUCUCAAGCUUGGAAGCGCAGUCGGAGUGCCAGCCGACCCCGGAUCCGACCCGCUAACAUUAGUUUGUCUGUGGAGUGUCUAACUCUCUCCCUCGCCCAAUAUCAUGGGUGAAAGUGAGAGGGAAUAAAAGAAAAAAAAAAAGUCUAUUCAUUUACUAAUUUUUGUGAGAGGGCUGUUUGCGUGUUUUGUAUGGAAAAGGAGUGGAAUCAGGGGCAAUCAUAUUAUUAAGUCAGAGAGGGGCAGGCCAUCAUAUUCUCAGCAAGCAUUUUCCUGUAUUGUAUAAAAGAGGAGUGUGUUCUUCCUCACUCCCGCAUUUCUCUUGUUUUCUUAUUCAGCUUCUUGGUGUCAUGGCAUCCAGCGGCACCAACAUGAACGCCGGAAAACAACAGAACAAAAGCGUGUGGAAGGAUGAGAUAGAAUGUCUAAUGUGUACGUGGAGGGGGACGGUGAAGGACGCAGUUUAUCACCAACGAGUCCACAAUGGAAAGUAUCAUACCUGCCCAACUUGCAAGGUGAAGUUCCCUUCAAAGAGGGACUUGUGGAUUCACCAAGAUGAGAGACAUGAUGAUGGUAGAUAGCUCACACCACACCAAGAGGAGAGACUAGCUCCAUCUGGGUGAGCCAUUUAUGUUUUUAUCAAAUAGUAAAUUAUGAACUUGUGUUAUGUUUGCUGGUUUGUGUUAUGUUUGUUUGUUUGUGUUAUGUUUGUUGGUUGGUUGGUUUGGUGAAUAUUACUUAUAUUUGAAAA